AGGAAUUGACGGGGACCCGCACAAGCGGUGGAGCAUGUGGUUUAAUUCGAAGCAACGCGAAGAACCUUACCAAAUCUUGACAUCCUUUGACAACUCUAGAGAUAGAGCCUUCCCCUUCGGGGGACAAAGUGACAGGUGGUGCAUGGUUGUCGUCAGCUCGUGUCGUGAGAUGUUGGGUUAAGUCCCGCAACGAGCGCAACCCUUAAGCUUAGUUGCCAUCAUUAAGUUGGGCACUCUAAGUUGACUGCCGGUGACAAACCGGAGGAAGGUGGGGAUGACGUCAAAUCAUCAUGCCCCUUAUGAUUUGGGCUACACACGUGCUACAAUGGACAAUACAAAGGGCAGCGAAACCGCGAGGUCAAGCAAAU
rnacentral:rRNA from 1 species